rnacentral:rRNA from 1 species
GAUGAACGCUGGCGGCGUGCCUAAUACAUGCAAGUCGAGCGAACAGAUGAGGAGCUUGCUCCUCUGACGUUAGCGGCGGACGGGUGAGUAACACGUGGAUAACCUACCUAUAAGACUGGGAUAACUUCGGGAAACCGGAGCUAAUACCGGAUAAUAUAUUGAACCGCAUGGUUCAAUAGUGAAAGACGGCUUUGCUGUCACUUAUAGAUGGAUCCGCGCCGCAUUAGCUAGUUGUUAAGGUAACGGCUUACCAAGGCAACGAUGCGUAGCCGACCUGAGAGGGUGGUCGGCCACACGGGAACUGAGCCACGGUCCAGACUCCUACGGGAGGCAGCAGUAGGGAAUCUUCCGCAAUGGGCGGAAGCCUGACGGAGCAACGCCGCGUGAGUGAUGAAGGUCUUCGGAUCGUAAAACUCUGUUAUUAGGGAAGAACAAAUGUGUAAGUAACUGUGCACGUCUUGACGGUACCUAAUCAGAAAGCCACGGCUAACUACGUG